rnacentral:rRNA from 1 species
UACGUAGGUGGCAAGCGUUUGUCCGGAUUUAUUGGGUUUAAAGGGUGCGUAGGCGGCUUUGUAAGUCAGCGGUGAAAUACUCUAGCUUAACUAGAGGGGUGCCAUUGAUACUGCGGAGCUUGAGUACAGAUGAGGUAGGCGGAAUUGACGGUGUAGCGGUGAAAUGCAUAGAUAUCGUCAAGAACACCGAUAGCGAAGGCAGCUUACUGGGCUGUAACUGACGCUGAUGCACGAAAGUGUGGGGAUCAAACAGG